rnacentral:tRNA from 1 species
GCCUUCAUGGUGCAAUGGUCAGAACGUUCGACGCAUAACCGAGAGGUCCGUGGUUCGAUUCCCAGCGAAGGCG